GACAGAGGUUGCAAACGUUGUUCGGAAUUACUGGGCAUAAAGCGCACGUAGGCGGUCCGUUAAGUCAUGUGUGAAAUCCCCCGGCUCAACCGGGGAAUUGCGCCUGAUACUGGCGGGCUAGAGGUCGAUAGGGGUGAGCGGAACUCCAGGUGGAGCGGUGAAAUGCGUAGAUAUCUGGAGGAACACCGGUGGCGAAAGCGGCUCACUGGAUCGAAACUGACGCUGAGGUGCGAAAGCUAGGGUAGCAAACGGG
rnacentral:rRNA from 1 species